rnacentral:lncRNA from 1 species
AGGUAUCUAUUUCUCUUAGGGAUGCCUAAGAUAACAUUUAAUUCAAGAACGAGUAGGUAUACACUGCUAUUUAUCUAUUUUACUCGAGGAUGAGUAAAGUUUAAAUUAGAAGAUGCAAUAAAUACUUAAAUUAAGUCAUUAAAAAUAUUUAAUUUUAUUUAAUUAUUCUAUAUUUAUUAAAAAUUUGAUGCUCUCUAAUUUAUUUUACAGAUAAUUAAUAGA